AUUGAACGCUGGCGGAAUGCUUUACACAUGCAAGUCGAGCGGCAGCGCGGGGGCAACCCUGGCGGCGAGCGGCGAACGGGUGAGUAACACAUCGGAACGUACCCUAUCGUGGGGGAUAACGAAUCGAAAGAUUCGCUAAUACCGCAUACGACCUGAGGGUGAAAGCGGGGGAUCGCAAGACCUCGCGCGAUUGGAGCGGCCGAUGUCGGAUUAGCUAGUUGGUAGGGUAAAGGCCUACCAAGGCGACGAUCCGUAGCUGGUCUGAGAGGACGACCAGCCACACUGGAACUGAGACACGGUCCAGACUCCUACGGGAGGCAGCAGUGGGGAAUUUUGGACAAUGGGGGCAACCCUGAUCCAGCCAUUCCGCGUGAGUGAAGAAGGCCUUCGGGUUGUAAAGCUCUUUCGGCAGGAACGAAAAGGCGGGCUCUAACAUAGCCUGUCAAUGACGGUACCUGAAGAAGAAGCACCGGCUAACUACAUGCCAGCCGCCGCAGUAACAC
rnacentral:rRNA from 1 species